CUCUUCUCCUCCUCCCCUCUCUCCGCUAGCUCUUAGCAAGACUAGGCGGGCCGGGCCGGGCUCGGACGGCGCGCUCGGCUCUCUGCAGAGGCGGGAGACCCGUCAGGGCUUGUCUCGGUCCUCCGCGGGCAGGCUCAGCGCUCCGCUCCGGCUUCGCAGACAUGAGAGAAGCGGGGUGGGGGCCGGAGGCUUGCGGAUGACCAGCAAACCCGCGUUGCCAUUUCGUACAAUAAGCAAAGGAAGCUGGAGUAGCCUGAAGGGGAAGAGAAUCCACCUGAGGACACCAACUCAAGGUCACCAAAGAGCGAGCGAGUGAGCGAGCGCUUUCCAUAAUUCCUCGCUGCUCUUUUCUAAAGCAGCUGAUAAACUGAAGCAGCGUUCCGGAUUUGCGCGCCGUUCUGUGAGCUUGACCUGGCUUAUUAGGCAUACUGAUCUAACACGGAUUUUGGAAGUCCUUUUUCUUGAUAUCCACGGCGGUGAACCAUCCUUUCGUCAGCCAACCUUUCUGAGAUGAAAUGGAAGAGGGAAAGUCUUCCUUUCUUCAAGCUAGGAAUUCUGCCGGUGUUUGCAGUGAACUGGAGAUCCUAGAAAAGGUCUCAGAUGAUGAACAUAUGAGUUGUUUUACUGGACAGAUGAAAGAUUUAUCUACAAUUCUUCAGCUAGUGGUCACAAAGAACCCAAGAAGCAAAUCAAUACAUUGAACAGCUUGUACCUCCCAGAUCGUUUGUACUGUACUUUGGACCUACAUCAAGAUAAUCCAUAUAAAUUCCUGGCUUUGAGUCAUUUUGCGAGGCAAGCUGGUGGCAAGACAAAAUGCUGUUCAGAUUCUAUGGCAAUUACGUAUUUAAAAAUCUGGAUUUUUUUUUAAAUGUGCGUGUUAACCCCAUCAAAAUGUCUUUUGUCAACUGUCCUUGUGUAAUCUAUAAAACUACUCCCACAUGAAAGUG